GUAUAUCCUUUCACCCUCCAGAUUAUUUAUCAAUGGGAUGUAGAAGUGCAUUGUUUACAUCACAUAUGCGCCAACGACCAAAAAAUAUGAUCUGCUUAGACAUAGCUUUAUGAUGUCAUCAAAUAGGCCAAAAGAUAAUGGGUCUUAGGAAGGACAAGAACUAUCAUCCAUUCGAAGACCUUGGCCGAAGUAUGAAAUUUUGAAAAAAUAUAGCCUAG
rnacentral:lncRNA from 1 species